CGCAGGUAUCGUGAGGGAAGUAUGGGGUAGUACGAGAGGAACUCCCAUGCCGUGCCGCUGGUUUCUGGGGUUUGUCGAACGGCAAGCGCCCCGACGCCAUCUCACGGUGGUUAACAGCUGAACGCCUCUAAGCUAGAAACCAAUCCCAAGACCAGAUGCCCACCAA
rnacentral:rRNA from 1 species